GUGGCGUGGCGCGGCUACAAUGCAGUCGAGCGAAUGGAUUAAGAGCUUGCUCUUAUGAAGUUAGCGGCGGACGGGUGAGUAACACGUGGGUAACCUGCCCAUAAGACUGGGAUAACUCCGGGAAACCGGGGCUAAUACCGGAUAACAUUUUGAACCGCAGGGUUCUAAAUUGAAAGGCGGCUUCGGCUGUCACUUAUGGAUGGACCCGCGUCGCAGUAUCUAGUUGGUGAGGUAACGGCUCACCAAGGCAACGAUGCGUAACCAACCUGAGAGGGUGAUCGGCCACACUGGGACUGAUCCACGGCCCAGACUCCUACGGGAGGCAUCAAUAGGGAAUCUUCCCCAGUGGACGAAAUUCUGACGGAGCAACGCCGCGUGUUUGAUGAAGGCUUUCGGGUCGUAAAACUCUGUUGUUAGGGAAAAACAAUUGCUAAUUGAAUAAGCUGGCCCCUUGACGGUCCCUAACCAAAACGCCGCGGCUAACUACGUGCCAACAGCCGCGGUAAUACUUAGGUGGCAUGCGUUAUCCGAAAUUAUUGGGCGUAAAGCGCGCGCAUGUGGUGUCUUAUCUCUGAUGUGAAAUCCCACGGCUCAUCCGUGAAGGGUCAUUGAAAACUGGGAAACUUGAGUGCAAAAUAGGAGUGUGGAAUUCCAUGUGUAGCGGUGAAGUGCGUAGAGAUAUGGAGGAACACCAGUGGCUGAACGCAUCUUUCUGGUCUGUAACUGACACUGAGGCGCGAAAGCGUGAGGAGCACACAGGAUUAUAUACCCUGGUACUCCACGCCACUAAACGAUGAGUGCUAUUGUGUUAGAGGGUUUCCGCCCUAUAGUGCUGAAUAUAACGCAUGAAGCACUACCGCCUGGAGGAGUACAACUCGCAAUGAUUAAACUC
rnacentral:rRNA from 1 species